rnacentral:SRP_RNA from 1 species
AGCCGGGAACUGCGCGGCGGAACUUCGGCGAACCCCGCCAGGGCUGGAAGGCAGCAACGGUAAGUCGAACAACCGUGCGACGCACCAUUCCCGGCGACU